rnacentral:rRNA from 1 species
UACGUAGGGGGCAAGCGUUGUCCGGAAUCAUUGGGCGUAAAGAGCGUGUAGGCGGCCCAGUAAGUCUGGUGUGAAAACUUGAGGCUCAACCUCAAGCUGUCAUCGGAUACUGUUGGGCUUGAGUCCGGAAGAGGAGAGUGGAAUUCCUGGUGUAGCGGUGGAAUGCGCAGAUAUCGGGAGGAACACCUGUGGCGAAAGCGGCGCACUGGACCAUAACUGACGCUGAGGCGCGAAAGCUAGGGGAGCAAACAGG